rnacentral:rRNA from 1 species
GAUGAACGCUGGCGGCGUGCCUAAUACAUGCAAGUCGAGCGAACGGACGAGAAGCUUGCUUCUCUGAUGUUAGCGGCGGACGUGUGAGUCACACGUGGAUACCCUACCUAUAAGACUGGGAUAACUUCGGGAAACCGGCUCUAAUACCGUAUAAUCUUUUGAACCGCAUUGUUGAUAAGUGAAAGACGGUCUUGCUGUCUCUUCUCGCUGGAUCCGCGCUGCAUGAGAUAGUUGGUAAGGUAACGGCUUAGCACGGCAACGAUGCAUAACCGACCUGAGAGGGGGAUAGGCCACACUGGAAGGGAGACGCGGUCAAGACUACUAAGGGAGGCAGCAGUAGGGUAUGGUACGCAAUGGGCGAAAGCAUGACGGAGCAAGGCCACGUGAGAGAUGAAGGUCUUCGGAUCGUAAAAAUCGGUUAUGAGGGAAGAACAGAUGUGGAAGGAAAUGUGCACAGAGUGACGGUAACGAAUAAGAAAGCCACGGCUAACUACGUG